CUGAACACUGUCUGGCAGUUGAUAGUGUCGAUCCACUAUGACUCCUAAAUCCUUCUCAUAAGGUGUCCUCUCGAUUUUCUGACCACCCAUUGUGUAUUCAAACCUCACAUUUUUACUUCCUAUGUGUUAUUCUUUACAUUUACUGACAUUAAAUUUCAUCUGCCACAAAUCUGCCCGAGCCUGUCUGCUAUCCAGGUCCUUCUGUGAUGAUAUAACGCAUUCCAAAUUAUCUGCUAAUCCACCUAUCUUGGUGUCAUCUGCAAACUUAACCAGCUUGUUACUUAUAUUCCUAUCUAAAUCAUUUAUAUAUAUUAAAAAUAGCAGCGGCCCUAGCACUGACCCCUGCUGGUCACCACUCUUAACAUCGGCCAGUUCUGAUGAGGUUCCUCACACCAUCACCCUCUGCUUCCUGUGUCUGAGCCAAUUCU